rfam:Myotis davidii contig164388, whole genome shotgun sequence.
GAUGGUUCUCGGGUGAUGCACCCUGGAAUUGGGCUCCCUCCUCUCUGGUUCCGGUGUGUCACCCGAGAACCACA